rnacentral:ribozyme from 16 species
CUAAUAACACUGGAAAAAAAAAAAAUCAGGUUAAAAAAAAAAAAAAUCAAGAUUUUUUUUUUCAGUUUUUUUUUUCUUCUUUUGCUA